rnacentral:rRNA from 1 species
UACAGAGGUCUCAAGCGUUGUUCGGAUUCAUUGGGCGUAAAGGGUGUGUAGGUGGCGCCGUAAGUCGGGUGUGAAAUUUCGGAGCUUAACUCCGAAACUGCAUUCGAUACUGCGGUGCUUGAGGACUGGAGAGGAGACUGGAAUUCAUGGUGUAGCAGUGAAAUGCGUAGAGAUCAUGAGGAAGACCAGUGGCGAAGGCGGGUCUCUGGACAGUUCCUGACACUGAGACACGAAGGCUAGGGGAGCAAACGGG